rnacentral:rRNA from 1 species
GAGAGUUUGAUCCUGGCUCAGAAUCAACGCUGGCGGCGUGCCUAACACAUGCAAGUCGAACGAGAAAGUGGAGCAAUCCAUGAGUAAAGUGGCGACCGGGUGAGUAACACGUGACUAACCUGCCUUCGAGUGGGGGAUAACCUCGGGAAACCGGGGCUAAUACCGCAUAAUGCCUUCGGGUUAAAGGAGCAAUUCGCUUGAAGAGGGGGUCGCGGCUGAUUAGCUAGUUGGCGGGGUAAUGGCCCACCAAGGCAAUGAUCGGUAGCCGGCCUGAGAGGGCGCACGGCCACACUGGAACUGAAACACGGUCCAGACUCCUACGGGAGGCAGCAGUGGGGAAUUUUGCGCAAUGGGGGAAACCCUGACGCAGCAACGCCGCGUGGAGGAUGAAGUCCCUUGGGACGUAAACUCCUUUCGACCGGGACGAUGAUGACGGUACCGGUGGAAGAAGCCCCGGCUAACUUCGUGCCAGCAGCCGCGGUAAUACGAGGGGGGCGAGCGUUGUUCGGAAUUAUUGGGCGUAAAGGGCGCGUAGGCGGUGCGGUAAGUCACCUGUGAAACCUCUGGGCUUAACUCAGAGCCUGCAGGCGAAACUGCCGUGCUGGAGUGUGGGAGAGGU